GUCGAGAAUAGUCUACAAUGGUCGAAAGACUGAUAGUGCGACGCCGCGUGAACGAAGAAGCCCUUCGGGGUGUAAAGUUCUUUUAUAUGUGAGCAGUGCCAUUUAUGUGAAUAGCAUGGGUGGAGAGAUAUUAGCAUAUGAAUAAGCAACGGCUAACUCCGUGCCAGCAGCCGCGGUAACACGGGGGUUGCGAGCGUUGUCCGGAAUUACUAGGCGUAAAGGGCAGGCAGGCGGAUCUAUAAGUUUUUCGUUUAAGGCGUCAGCUUAACUGGCGUACGGCGGGAGAUACUGUAGAUCUGGAAUGCGGUUGGGGAAGACAGAAUUCCUGGUGUAGCGGUGGAAUGCGCAGAGAUCAGGAGGAAUACCGAAGGCGAAGGCAGUCUUCCAAGCCGUUAUUGACGCUCAACUGCGAAGGUGUGGGUAUCAAACAGGAUUAGAUACCCUUGUAGUCC
rnacentral:rRNA from 1 species